rnacentral:rRNA from 1 species
AAUGCUUAGGAAUCUGCCUAUUAGUGGGGGACAACAUUCCGAAAGGAAUGCUAAUACCGCAUACGCCCUACGGGGGAAAGCAGGGGAUCUUCGGACCUUGCGCUGAUAGAUGAGCCUAAGUCAGAUUAGCUAGUUGGUGGGGUAAAGGCCUACCAAGGCGACGAUCUGUAGCGGGUCUGAGAGGAUGAUCCGCCACACUGGGACUGAGACACGGCCCAGACUCCUACGGGAGGCAGCAGUGGGGAAUAUUGGACAAUGGGCGAAAGCCUGAUCCAGCCAUGCCGCGUGUGUGAAGAAGGCCUUUUGGUUGUAAAGCACUUUAAGCGAGGAGGAGGCUACUUGGAUUAAUACUCUAGGAUAGUGGACGUUACUCGCAGAAUAAGCACCGGCUAACUCUGUGCCAGCAGCCGCGGUAAUACAGAGGGUGCGAGCGUUAAUCGGAUUUACUGGGCGUAAAGCGUGCGUAGGCGGCUUUUUAAGUCGGAUGUGAAAUCCCUGAGCUUAACUUAGGAAUUGCAUUCGAUACUGGGAAGCUAGAGUAUGGGAGAGGAUGGUAGAAUUCCAGGUGUAGCGGUGAAAUGCGUAGAGAUCUGGAGG